GUUGGUUUAGCUCAGUUGGCAAAACACAAGGUUCUUAACCUUGAUGUUGCGGGUUCGAGCUCCAUGGUGGACG
rnacentral:tRNA from 7 species